rnacentral:rRNA from 1 species
AGAGUUUGAUCAUGGCUCAGGAUGAACGCUAGCGGCAGGCUUAACACAUGCAAGUCGAGGGGCAGCAUAAUGGAUAGCAAUAUCUAUGGUGGCGACCGGCGCACGGGUGCGUAACGCGUAUGCAACCUACCUUUAACAGGGGGAUAACACUGAGAAAUUGGUACUAAUACCCCAUAAUAUCAUAGAAGGCAUCUUUUAUGGUUGAAAAUUCCGAUGGUUAGAGAUGGGCAUGCGUUGUAUUAGCUAGUUGGUGGGGUAACGGCUCACCAAGGCGACGAUACAUAGGGGGACUGAGAGGUUAACCCCCCANACUGGUACUGAGACACGGACCAGACUCCUACGGGAGGACACGACCAGUGAGGCGGUCGUGGACGAAGGCC